UGCAGGAGAGUAGCGGGCAACCUAUGCAACAAAAGCUGCCGCAGAGCCAAGCGACAGCCCGACGCUCAGCGGACAUUAACACGGAGCCACCGGCUGACACUACCCGGAGAGGUACGACAGCAAGGAUUAAAAUUGCAGCCUGGACCAAAACGUCUCACCGACAUUAAUGAAGCUUUUAAGGCCUUUUGCCUCUUCCUUACGACGUGCUGUGAUGCAGUCUGAGUUCAGGUUGCACGCCUGAGACUGGCAGGUUCAGCUGAAGUGAAAGCAGCCGACUUCCUCUCGGUGAAAUGUUUGCUGACUAUUGAAUGGCGCUGAAUCGGCAUCAUUUUAAAACCAACAACGCAAUGUAGCCAGACACAUCUGGUCACGAGCAAAAAGUCACAUGAACACACAUGAACUUCAACAUACAUUAGCACAGAUGUUGUGCAAACAGAGCACACAUACACGUAUGCAGACACUCUCAGAGAAAGGCUGUUCAUUAUUUGCCCAUAUACAAAUAUUUGAGACUUUGCAUUCAGAACUGGAUUUUAUUCCCCUAAACAACAUGUAAAUAAUGUCUGAUUAUGCUUACUGUUUUCAUCCCAGUUAUGUAAUGCUCACACCUUUCUAACCGAGAUACUUCCUAGUCUCUUGGUCGAGACAUGCCCAAACACACCCUUCCUAUUAUGACCAGAUUGAGGUUUGCAACAAAAAUGUAAAAAAAUU